GAUGAACGCUGGCGGCGUGCUUAACACAUGCAAGUCGAACGGUGAAGCAGGAGCUUGCACUUGUGGAUCAGUGGCGAACGGGUGAGUAACACGUGAGCAACCUGCCCCUGACUCUGGGAUAAGCGCUGGAAACGGCAUCUAAUACUGGAUAUGUGAUGUGACCGCAUGGUCUGCAUCUGGAAAGAAUUUCGGUUGGGGAUGGGCUCGCGGCCUAUCAGCUUGUUGGUGAGGUAAUGGCUCACCAAGGCGUCGACGGGUAGCCGGCCUGAGAGGGUGACCGGCCACACUGGGACUGAGACACGGCCCAGACUCCUACGGGAGGCAGCAGUGGGGAAUAUUGCACAAUGGGCGGAAGCCUGAUGCAGCAACGCCGCGUGAGGGAUGACGGCCUUCGGGUUGUAAACCUCUUUUAGCAGGGAAGAAGCGAAAGUGACGGUACCUGCAGAAAAAGCACCGGCUAACUACGUGCCAGCAGCCGCCGUAA
rnacentral:rRNA from 1 species